UGUCAGCAAAUAGCCGAGUUGAAGGCUAAGAACUCACUUCGAACGCAUUUUUGCGACUCUCCGAUCGACUGACCGCCACCCAUGUGUACAUGAGUGUUUGUGAGAUCACUGCGUCUCUCUGACAGCUUGUGUUUGGCGAUUUUAUGUGAGAUUUUUGGGGUUAAACGGACAGUAUUUCUCGAGUUAUGCUAAUAUUCGCUUCAUCGUUCCGGUCAGCAUUUAUUUAUUCAUGACAUGUUUUGGGGAAGGUUGCAGGUGGAGUGGUCUCUUUCUCCCUGUAGUCCAGGUGUGACGUCAUUUUGCUGACCGAGGUCCUCCACCUUCGCCCUCAUCAUCUUCUAGUCACCACCAUUAGCUGCUCUCAGUGUGAGUUGGACAGUGCAGAAGGACGAGCAGGUCCCUCAGCCAACGUUGCUCCUCAGAUGCCGACUGACUCUCACAAACUCCACUUGAGCAGCGACACAGAGCCCAAGGCCACGAUGGCGGUUUCAUGACUGGUGAUCAACGUGAGAUCAGUCACUCACGCUGAGUCGCACGGUGGAGACAGAGGAGGCGCUGCAUGGCACAAGACGGCGUCUGAAGCUCAGGUGAUGUUAGCUCGUCCUUCAAACCUACACACUCAAGGCCAGCAAACGCUUCAGCUGUGAUUCAUGAUUCAAUUCAGUUUGAUUUCAAAGUGCAGUGUAAUGUUGCUCAUGUGAAAGAGUGGUUCUCUGGUCCACAGUGUGGGGUCUAGAAACAGUUACUCAGGCGUACGAGGAAGGAGAAACUGAUCCAAGAG